rnacentral:lncRNA from 1 species
GCAUACUUAGGAUCCAUGAGCAGGUUGUAAAACAGACAAAUGGGUCCUGAAGCCAUAAUUUCUAUUGAGGAGUUAGAUACCUUAAAGGCCAUUCCAGAAGGGGACUCCAAGGGUUAUCCGGGCACUUCUGCUCCGGGUGUUGCGACUUGAUUUCUUCUUCUUCUUUUUUUGUAUUUUUUUUCUUUCUCUUGUAUUAUUUGUAAGGCUAUUGUGCCUUGUUUAUGACGAUCAAUAUAGAAGGGUACCGUGGGGUGAUCUGG